rnacentral:rRNA from 1 species
UACAGAGGGUGCAAGCGUUAAUCGGAAUUACUGGGCGUAAAGCGUGCGUAGACGGUUGCGUAAGUCAGAUGUGAAAGCCCCGGGCUCAACCUGGGAAUUGCAUUUGAGACUGCGUAGCUAGGGUGCGGAAGAGGGAAGCGGAAUUUCCGGUGUAGCGGUGAAAUGCGUAGAUAUCGGAAGGAACACCAGUGGCGAAGGCGGCUCACUGGCCCGGUACUGACGCUGAGGUGCGAAAGCGUGGGGAGCAAAGCAGG